rnacentral:rRNA from 1 species
ACGAACGCUGGCGGCGUGCCUAAUACAUGCAAGUCGAACGCUUCUUUUUCCACCGGAGCUUGCUCCACCGGAAAAAGAGGAGUGGCGAACGGGUGAGUAACACGUGGGUAACCUGCCCAUCAGAAGGGGAUAACACUUGGAAACAGGUGCUAAUACCGUAUAACAAUCGAAACCGCAUGGUUUUGAUUUGAAAGGCGCUUUCGGGUGUCGCUGAUGGAUGGACCCGCGGUGCAUUAGCUAGUUGGUGAGGUAACGGCUCACCAAGGCGACGAUGCAUAGCCGACCUGAGAGGGUGAUCGGCCACAUUGGGACUGAGACACGGCCCAAACUCCUACGGGAGGCAGCAGUAGGGAAUCUUCGGCAAUGGACGAAAGUCUGACCGAGCAACGCCGCGUGAGUGAAGAAGGUUUUCGGAUCGUAAAACUCUGUUGUUAGAGAAGAACAAGGAUGAGAGUAACUGUUCAUCCCUUGACGGUAUCUAACCAGAAAGCCACGGCUAGCUACGUGCCAGCAGCCGCGGUAAUACGUAGGUGGCAAGCGUUGUCCGGAUUUAUUGGGCGUAAAGCGAGCGCAGGCGGUUUCUUAAGUCUGAUGUGAAAGCCCCCGGCUCAACCGGGGAGGGUCAUUGGAAACUGGGAGACUUGAGUGCAGAAGAGGAGAGUGGAAUUCCGUGUGUAGCGGUGAAAUGCGUAGAUAUAUGGAGGAACACCAGUGGCGAAGGCGGCUCUCUGGUCUGUAACUGACGCUGAGGCUCGAAAGCGUGGGGAGCAAACAGGAUUAGAUACCCUGGUAGUCCACGCCGUAAACGAUGAGUGCUAAGUGUUGGAGGGUUUCCGCCCUUCAGUGCUGCAGCUAACGCAUUAAGCACUCCGCCUGGGGAGUACGACCGCAAGGUUGAAACUCAAAGGAAUUGACGGGGGCCCGCACAAGCGGUGGAGCAUGUGGUUUAAUUCGAAGCAACGCGAAGAACCUUACCAGGUCUUGACAUCCUUUGACCACUCUAGAGAUAGAGCUUCCCCUUCGGGGGCAAAGUGACAGGUGGUGCAUGGUUGUCGUCAGCUCGUGUCGUGAGAUGUUGGGUUAAGUCCCGCAACGAGCGCAACCCUUAUUGUUAGUUGCCAUCAUUUAGUUGGGCACUCUAGCAAGACUGCCGGUGACAAACCGGAGGAAGGUGGGGAUGACGUCAAAUCAUCAUGCCCCUUAUGACCUGGGCUACACACGUGCUACAAUGGGAAGUACAACGAGUCGCAAAGUCGCGAGGCUAAGCUAAUCUCUUAAAGCUUCUCUCAGUUCGGAUUGUAGGCUGCAACUCGCCUACAUGAAGCCGGAAUCGCUAGUAAUCGCGGAUCAGCACGCCGCGGUGAAUACGUUCCCGGGCCUUGUACACACCGCCCGUCACACCACGAGAGUUUGUAACACCCGAAGUCGGUGAGGUAACCUUUUGGAGCCAGCCGCCUAAGGUGGGAUAGAUGAUUGGGGUG